AUGGAGAACAAGGAGGCUCCGGCGGCGGCGGCGGCCGCAGUGCCGGAGAAGGAGUCGACGUCGUGCUUCAAGAGCACGGUGGGGGAGGACGCGUCGCUCUUGGAGAAGGCCAAGGACCAGUACAAGCAGUUCACGGGGGCGCUGGCGGGCGAGCACUGGGAGUGCCUCAAGAACAAGGUCACCUCCAUGUUCCCCGACCCCAUCCCCUUCUUCGGCGGAGGCGCCAAGGACCACGGCUCCACCAACAACAACACGCCGCCGCCCGUCGAGUCGCACUAG
rnacentral:rRNA from 1 species